rnacentral:tRNA from 1 species
GGGCUCGUAGCUCAGUGGGAGAGCGCUCGCCUCACACGCGAGAGGUCACAGGUUCAAAACCUGUCGAGCCCA